rnacentral:lncRNA from 10 species
ACACCUGGAUGUGCUCACUCAACCAAGAAUAUAGAGAAAGAGCUUCUGCCCUGAGACUCAGAAAAAUAUUCUCCUGUGCUUUGGUUCAGUAUAGAUUUCUAAACCCUGAUCAUUGCUUAAGAGAUAUUCACUGAGGGUCCUACGUCUCUGCAAUUUGUGUAUGAAUAACAGAAUAAUUUCCCUCUUUUGUUUCGCCUUUCCUGUUCCUGAAUCUAAAUAAAGAUGGCUUUUUAGUAUUAAAAGUGGAAGAAAAUUACAGUUGCUGAGACAAAGGAAAACCCACUCCCUUGGAGGAGCAUGACCUUUUCCUGUAAUUCUUCCCACUGCUGUUGUUGAGCUCCUUGGAUCCUGGCUCCUGGACACCAUCAUCAAGAAGACUUUAUGGAUGGGCUGUCCACCCACUGAGAGAAGAGGAGCAUCAGCUACAGUUUCUCUCUAGAUUGCCUUCUUCAUUUUGAGUAAUGACUGUCAGCAGGGUCAGAUUAAACACAAAACAACUGGACAAUUGCUUGGAGGACUAAACUAUAAGGGCACUAACAUGUCAAUAGUAGGCUAACACAUCCAUGGAAAAUAUAUUUACCAGCUCUUCUCUCAGGGAGGAUUCUGUGUGGGGUUGGAAGUAAUGAUUUGUUAAAUUCCUUAGGGGUAGAAAGUAGGGCAUAAUCAGAAUAUAGAGGAAUAUGCUGUUUGACUUCAGGGUUUCUGUUUUUCUUACUAGGAUAUAUAAAACAGGGACUCUAGCUAGAUUGUUUAUGACCACAGAGGGUAGGCUGAGUGCUCCCAUGAUCUUCCUGCUUGGUUCUUGCCCAUACAGAGGUCAGCCUUUCCUCUAAUAAAGAUUGAACAAGUAGUGGUCUGAGGGAGACACCAAUUCAUUACCCUACAUGUCUCUUCUCUGCACUCCAGGGCUUUGAUAAUAAAGACACUGGCAGACUAUCUAUCUUCCAUUUCUAUAAUGUGAGCCCUUAGGGAGUCUUCGUUCACUUGGGGGUGAGGGUCAUUGCUCACAGAGUAGUUCAAGUCAAAUGGAACUUGAACUCUUUGCCUAUGGGCCUGGUGGUCAGACUCUGUGUUGAGUUCAUUAGAUUAUUGGAGACACAAGGUAGAGCUGGAUGCUUCAAAAAUAUUUGGCUAAAGGAUGACAUUGCUGGUUAUUUGUAGAUAAAGCCAUGAUGGAACCUGCUUGGAAUCAUGAAAUAUGGAACUGGUGGUCAUGUUUAAAAAUACAACUAAUAGUUAAGUACCUACUGGACACUGUAGAGACUUAGGGGCUAGACAGACAUGGUUCCUGCCCCCUUGGAGCUUACACUGUAGCUUCCCCUUAGGUAUGAAGAACAGUGGCUACAACUAACAAAUGGCCACAAAGAUAUAAUUGAGCCAGUGUUCCAAUUAUUAGGGUAAUUCCUAUUUCCUUAAUCAUUCCUAUUGACCAUGUUCUAUAAGCCUGCAUUCUAUAAAUGGCGUAUGACCAUGGGCUGUUUCCCCCCAGCAAGUUGUACAAAGUUCUGUGGUACCAGGGAAAGGGCUUAAGGUUAGCAGGGCCUCUGCGGAAGGACAUAUGAAGUGACUUGGGUUAGGAAACAGGAAGGGAUAGGAUUCAAGAACAGCUAUUGCUUCUGUUCUAUAUAGGAAACUGCAGCGUGAAAAAUGCUGGGCUGGGAAUUUUGAGACCUGGGUUUUAGUUUGUGUUCUAAUACUAACAAGCUAUGUGACUGUGGGUAAGUCAUUUCACAUUCCAUUUGGAUGCCUCUUGAGUGACUCCAGGCCUCUCCAGCUCUAAAACAUUAAGAUCAGGCCCUACGCUACAGCUGGCCAGUGUGUAAUUCUUCUGUUUCUAUGCUGUUAGGUCAAAUAGAUCUUCAAUAGUUACUUGAUUGUUAUUACUUUUUUCUGAAGUGGGUGUUUUAUCAAUGUUUUAGGAUACAGUGAGUCUGCUUCUCCCCUUUGGAGUUAGGAAGGUUGUAGGAAUAUACACUGUAGAGCAUAUGGGAGCUUUAUCCCCUCCUUUUUUCCCCGCUACCUUUCUCCCUCUCCUUCCCUUCAUCACAUUUCUAUUGAGCAUAUGCCAUUGCCGUGUACCAGGUGUGUGCUAGGUUUGGAGAUACAAGGUAAACCUGAGACUUUCCCAGUCUCCAGGAGACAAAACCCUAAUUUCUUUCAUCUGCUGUCUUUCUCUUUGGAAAGAAUCAACGAUAUCCCAGGGGAAUGUGCCCAUGUCCCAGGGUAACCAACUACAGACAGAUGCCCCAUUCUACUCAAGCAACUUUUAGAGUGCCUUGAGAUACACAUCAGAUAAUUAUGCAGGGCCAGGCAUGGUGCUGCACACUUGUAAUCACAGCACUUUGGGAGGCCGAGGCAGCAGAUUGCUUGAGCCCAGGAAUUCAAGUGUAGCCUAGGGAACAUGGCAAAACCCCAGCUCUACAAAAAAAUACACAAAUUAGCUGCGUGUGGUGGCCUAUGACAGGAGGCUGAGAUGGGAGGAUUGCUUGAGCCUGUGAGGUCGAGGCUGCAGUGAGCCGAGAUCAUGCCAUUACUCCAGCCUGGGUGACAUAGGGAGACCCUGUCUUGAAAAAAAAAAAAAAAAGAUAAUUAUUCAGCCCUAGAGUCAUUGUGAAAAGAUCUAUCUUCAGAUAUAAGGAAGAAACAAUCUUUUAUUUCUUAGGAUAAAUCUGUAGAAGGACCUCCAGACAGUGAAGGCCACUGACUACUUUAUACUCUGUAAGCCAUCCCUCCCUGGUAGGAAGGACUAUUUCCAAUCUUACAGAGUACCUCUCAGCAAAUAGACGUUUUCACAUAUACUGUGAUUCAUACAUCCCUAUGGCUGGUGACCUCUUUAAAAAGGAAAGGAAAAAGCCUAAUCAAACAAAAAGAUGCUGCUAGUAAUUCUUACCCUAUUGUGAAUCCUAUAUAAGCAAAUUUGUAUCUUUGUUUUUUCCUACAUUAGCAGAUCUAUUUGAUGUAUAUCUCUGAGUGCAGAAAAUAUUUUAUGGAAAAAUCAAUAUAUGGAAUUUCAAAUUCAGAAUUGCUGAUACACACUAUUUGGUUUCACAAUUUUAUCCUAGGAAAUAGUAUUAGAGAUUUCAAUUUCUGGCUUAAAUGGUAGAAUUAAUUACUCUUAACUCUUAAUUUUACUUCUGAGUUGAGGUCAAGGAACAGGCAGACACCUGCAGUUAACGUCUAUACCUCUCCAUGGCCAAGAGUUUUAAUUUUCUCGUCUUCAAUUUUGUAGAUGUUCAUCAUUACUAAAUGGAUUGAUUAGUAUUUUAUCUCCUCUCCUUGUCCUUACUUUCCCUCUGGUAAAUAUGUUAUAAACAGUGUAAGGCUCCUAAGAUAGAGUAGCUGGUAGGACUUAGAAGAGAAACAAAGGGCACUGAUAACUCACAUAAAUGGAAAAUUGGCUCUGGAAUAACUGACAACAUAUUCAAGUAUUUUAGUGCAGUGUCACUCUCAUUAAGAAGAAGAGAAUCAGUAAAUCUAUGUGACUCUAAACAUUCUAAUGAAAAAAGGAAUAUUCUGCCAAUUAUCUCACAUUUCUAAAUAUCUGGAUAUUGGCCAUUGUAAAGACAAAACAUACAGAUGAUGGACUUGUCUUUCCACCUCUCAUUUGCAUGGUUUGGAGCAUUGUACCUCCAGCCAUAGACUCUAAGGCAAUUUAUAUUUGCUUCCUCUUCCCUCUUGAGAGAAAACGAAAAUCUUAUUUUUCCAAGCAAUUAAAACUCUUCUGCUUCAGCUAGGAUGAAAGAAUUAGGAGUUCUGUCUCCUUGUAUCUAAUUGCAUGUUUCAUCUUUCUUGUUUUAAUGAUUGACAGAAAACUAAUAAACUGAGACAUCUUUGAAUCCAGGUUGAAUGUA